CGAAUAUCGAAAAAUUUUAUCCCUACUUUAUCUAAUAUGUAUUACAAGCGACUAGUGGCGCAUGCGAUAUGCCCAAUAUGCGGGGGAGGGGUUGAAAUGACGGACCAUGUUUUUCGAAGUUGCCCUGCUUCAAAGGAUGUUUGGAAAUUAGUAGGGUACUCGUGGAUAAUGUCAAAUACAACUCAGGAAACGUUUGAAUGGCUUACCUGGGUAUUCAGUGUAAGUUCUGUUCUUCAACGGAGGGUUUUUUGUUGUGCCCUUUGGGCCUUGUGGAUUGAAAGGAAUAAGCGUGUGCAUGAGAACUCCGCAAAAUCGGGCAGAGAGGUAGCCAAUUUCAUUCAAAGUUACAUUAAAGAACUAGAAGGUAUCGAAGAACGAGGGCUUACCAGGGGAGUUAUUAGCGCUAAACUGGAACCUCCUUCGGGGGUUUGUAUUAAAAUAAACUUCGAUGCGGAUUUUGAUUGGGCACAUUCUAGGUCGAGGUCGGGGAUAGUGGCCAAAAACGCCCUGGGGAAGGUGGUUGCCUCUAGAUCGGUCAUACAUGCAAAUGUUGGGGCGGCUUUUGCAGCGGAAGCUCUUGCCCGUUUAUGGGCAGUACAAACGGGGUUAGAUUUGGGUUUCACAGAUAUGAUUAUAGAAGGAGACUCUUUAUCAGUUAUAAAGAAAUCCAAGUCAGAUUCACAAGACAAAUCAGAAAUAAGUACUUAUACCCGGAAUAUAAAACGAAAUAUCAACAGUUUUCGGUCUCUACGAAUCAAACAUGCAAGACGCUCGGCUAAUCAACUUGCUCAUGUAAUAGCUACUGAAAGUUUGAGAAAUGGUGAAGAGUUUUACCUGGAAGAGAAGGUCCCGAGAUUCGUUGUGAGGAUAAUGGAAGAAGAAUGGAUUAGAGCCCGAUUAAGGAGGAAGAUGGUAAAAGCUCUUCGAUCCCUGGGAUAAAGAAAGCUUAGAAAUGUGUUUUUGAGAGAAAAGAUCGUUGG
rnacentral:lncRNA from 1 species